UACGAAGGGUGCAAACGUUGCUCGGAAUCAUUGGGCGUAAAGCGCACGUAGGCGCCUUGCAAGUCGGAUGUGAAAUCCCACGGCUCAACCGUGGACGUGCAUCCGAAACUGCUCGGCUCGAGUAUGGAAGAGGGUCGCGGAAUUCCCGGUGUAGAGGUGAAAUUCGUAGAUAUCGGGAGGAACACCAGUGGCGAAGGCGG
rnacentral:rRNA from 1 species